rnacentral:rRNA from 1 species
CAUUUUUUGUCAAAAGAAUAUUCGUUUGGAAUGCCCCGCGCCCAUAUCUAGUGGAGAGUAAGGCUCACAGGGCGAUGUGUGUCGCCACCUGAGAGGGUAUGCGCCACAUGGAAGUGAGACAUGUCCAGACUCUUGGGGAGGCACAGUGGGUAUAUUGCACAGUGGGAAAACCCAGACGCAAAACGCCGUGAGAAUGAAAACGCUUUAGUGUUGAAAUUUCUGUCAUGUGGAAGAUAAUCACUGUCCCAUAUGGGAAGCCAGGGAUAAAUAUGUCCAGCAGCCGCGGUAAUAUGUAGGGGCGAGCGUUGUCCGGAUAUACUGGGUAAAAGGAUGUGUAGGCGGACUUAUAUGUCAGAUGUAAAUACCCGGUCUCAACUUGGGUGCUUCAUUUGAAAGCUGAGUGUCUAGAGUGCAGGAGAGGAAAGAAUAAUUCCUAGAGUAGCGAUGAAAUGAGUAGAUAUUAGGAAGAACACCAGUGACGAAGGCGGUUUUGUGGACUGUAAAUGACGAUGCGGCAUGAAAGCGUGAGCAGCCAACAUGAUUUGAUACCGUGGUAGUCCACGCAGUAAAUGAUGAAUAGUAGUUGUAUGUCGUAUGUACCCGUUGUGUGCCGCACUUAACACAAUAAGUAUUCCGCGUGCGGUGUCCGAUCGCAAGAUUAAAACUCAAGGGAAUUGACGGCGCCCCUCACAAGCCGCGGAGCAUGUGUUGUAGUUAGAAGCAACGCGAAGAACCUGACUUAGAUUCGACAUCCCAUCCAUUACCCGUAAUGAUGGAAGUCGUUAGGGGCAGGGAGCCAGGUGGUGCAUGGUGUUGUUAAGUUCGUGUCUUGAGAUGUUGGGUUAAUUCCGGCAAGGAGGGCAACCCUUAUCUUUAGUUGCUUCCAUUAAGUUGAGCACUCUAGUGAGACUGCCGGGGUUAACUGGGAGGAAGGUGGGGAUGACGUCAAAUCAUCAUGCCCCUUAUGUUUAGGGCUACACACGUGCUACAAUGGUUGGUACAAUAAGAUGCAAUACCGCGAGGUGGAGCUAAUCUCAUAAAACCAAUCCCAGUUCGGAUUGUAGGCUGAAACUCGCCUACAUGAAGC